CAGCACCGCAAGUGGUCAGGAUGAUUAUUGGGCCUAAAGCAUCCGUAGCCGGCGCUGUAAGUUUUCGGUUAAAUCUGUACGCUCAACGUACAGGCUGCCGGGAAUACUGCAGCGCUAGGGAGUGGGAGAGGUAGACGGUACUCGGUAGGAAGGGGUAAAAUCCUUUGAUCUAUUGAUGACCACCUGUGGCGAAGGCGGUCUACCAGAACACGUCCGACGGUGAGGGAUGAAAGCUGGGGGAGCAAACCGGAUUAGAUACCCGCGUAGUCC
rnacentral:rRNA from 1 species